rnacentral:misc_RNA from 1 species
GUGUUGCUUAGUCCAACAUGAACUCAGUUGAGUCUUCUGGAUCCCAAAAGAGGCGAUUGAAUUUUAGCUAAUUCCUGCACUGCACUCCGGCGCUUGCGUUGCUCUCCACUUAAACCACUACUGACAGCAAUGCAUAUGCGCUCCAAUUGCAGAAAGAUACGUACUGUAGAAUCUAUCUACUCUCAUCAAUCAAUCAGCUAUCUACCCCAUUCACUGUGGCCGUGUCAUCACUGGCGUCAGCAACGGCUUCCCAGAGAAGAAGGCUUCGAGGUUCCCAAUCAUGAGCUCGCGGAGGUCGGCGCUAGACUCCUCGGUGAACGCCGCCUGGUGCGCCGUCAGGACGACAUUGUCCAUGCCUCCCAGCCCUGGAGGCAGGUGCGGCUCGUCCUGGAAGACGUCGAGACCCGCGCCGGCGAUCCUCCCGUCCCGCAGCGCCGCGACCAGCUCCUGCUCGUCCACGACCCCCCCGCGCGCGACGUUCACCAGGACGCCGCCGGGGCCCAGCGCGUCCAGCACG